AUUUGUUAUUUUUAUUAUUAUUUUAUUAUUAUGCUUAUUGUUACAAUUAAUUGGUUUUCACUCAUUUUGAUAACGAGUGACACUCAUGUCAUCAUAUUAUUUGUAUUAAUAUAGAUAAUAUUAUUAUUUUUUAAUUAUUAGUGUUUUAAUUAUUUGGCGUCACUCCUUUGAUCAGGCUUCUGUUUGAGUGAUACCUUCCUUUUCAAAAAGGGCGCCGCACUAUGAGUCCAAAUGGCAAAAAUGUGGCCAAAAGUCAAUUUUCAAAAUUUACACUACAAGCCUACACUAAAACUGAAGAUCCAUUAUAUAAAUAUUUGAACCUCAUAAUUUUUGAUUGGCACUGACUGCACUAAAUAUUAUAACAUUGCUAUUUGAUCAAUAUAACAUCUAUCAUAA